AGGAGCCGUGUGCAUUAAUAGUGCACGCACGGUUCUGUGAGGGGGGAGAAAUCAAUCUACCGUAAAGGUAGAGAGAUUCUCUUCUACUCGAC
rnacentral:ncRNA from 1 species